GGGGAUGUAGCUCAGUGGUAGAUCACAUGCUUAGCAUAUAUGAGGUCCUGGAUUCAAUCCCCAGCAUCUCCA
rnacentral:tRNA from 1 species